UGUGUGUCAUCAAAUGUGGCAAGUUUAUGUUUAUGCAAUUAAGGUGUUUGAUAAAAGGCUUAUAUGGGUUUUACCAGAUAAAUUCAUCAUUUCGGAUUUAAAUUAGCAUCAUUAGCAUAAAAUUCAUUCUCCUUCUAAGUCGGCAAUUUCAAGUGGUUCAGAAAUUACAAGUGGUUUGGCGGCGAGUACAGGAGGUUCAGCGAUCGGCGCUAAUUGUUCAGUUCUCAGUCGGAGAUUACAGGUGGUUUAGGUAGCAUUAUUGCUCUAAUUUAUUUUCUUUUUUCCAGAUUGAUGUUGUAGCUAAGAGCUGUGAUGGAAGGCUUCACAUUGCCAACAACGAUGAACGAGAAGAAAGUUUGAUUCAACUACUUACGGUAUUAUGUUAAAGAUCUUAUAGACUGUGUGGGCAUGGAGGAGCAUUUGU
rnacentral:lncRNA from 1 species